GAAAAUACUGCUGAGCAUCCACUUGUCCCAGCCCCCAGAUAAGUACAACCCAGCAGAUGUUUGAUGUUUGCUCCUUCCCAAAGCACCUGAUUUGCCACCCCGGACUAUGGUUUGUGCAUCUUGCUCCAAGUGAAGUCAAUGGCAGCUGCAUUUAGGACACAUUAUGUGCUGCAUACUGACAUGCUCAGAAGAAUGGGACCCCAGGCAUCUUCUAUGCAUCACUUACAGUUUACAUCGAGGAGAAGGG